rnacentral:tRNA from 1 species
AAUGUAAUAGAUUAAUUGGUCAGAUCAUCAGACUCAUGCUCUGAAUGUAUGGGUUCGAGUCCCAUUUACCCUA